rnacentral:rRNA from 1 species
CGGGUGAGUAAUACAUCGGAACGUGUCUUCUAGUGGGGGAUAACUGCCCGAAAGGGCAGCUAAUACCGCAUGAGACCUGAGGGUGGAAAGCGGGGGAGUCGCAAGACCUCGCGCUGGAAGAGCGGCCGAUGUCCGAUUAGCUAGUUGGUGAGGUAAAGGCUCACCAAGGCGACGAUCGGUAGCUGGUCUGAGAGGACGACCAGCCACACUGGGACUGAGACACGGCCCAG